rnacentral:rRNA from 1 species
CGUAGGUGGCAAGCGUUGUCCGGAAUUAUUGGGCGUAAAGCGCGCGCAGGCGGCCUUUUAAGUCUGAUGUGAAAGCCCCCGGCUCAACCGGGGAGGGUCAUUGGAAACUGGAAGGCUUGAGUACAGAAGAGAAGAGUGGAAUUCCAUGUGUAGCGGUGAAAUGCGUAGAGAUGUGGAGGAACACCAGUGGCGAAGGCGACUCUUUGGUCUGUAACUGACGCUGAGGCGCGAAAGCGUGGGGAGCAAACAGGAUUAGAUACCCUGGUAGUCCACGCCGUAAACGAUGAGUGCUAGGUGUUGGGGGGUUUCCGCCCUCAGUGCUGAAGCUAACGCAUUAAGCACUCCGCCUGGGGAGUACGGCCGCAAGGCUG